UACGGAGGGUGCGAGCGUUGUUCGGAAUUAUUGGGCGUAAAGCGCGCGCAGGCGGUCCGUUACGUCCGUUGUGAAAGCUCCCGGCUCAACUGGGAGAGGUCUUCGGAUACGGGCGGACUCGAGGAAGGUAGAGGAAGGUGGAAUUCCCGGUGUAGUGGUGAAAUGCGUAGAGAUCGGGAGGAACACCAGUGGCGAAGGCGGCCUUCUGGGCCUUUCCUGACGCUGAGGCGCGAAAGCGUGGGGAGCGAACCGG
rnacentral:rRNA from 1 species